rnacentral:rRNA from 1 species
UACGGAGGGUGCAAGCGUUGUCCGGAUUUAUUGGGUUUAAAGGGUGCGUAGGCGGCUAUUUAAGUCAGUGGUGAAAUCCUGCAGCUUAACUGUAGAAUUGCCAUUGAUACUGGAUAGCUUGAGUACAGACGAGGUAGGCGGAAUUUAUGGUGUAGCGGUGAAAUGCAUAGAUACCAUAAAGAACCCCUAUUGCGAAGGCAGCUUACUAGGCUGUAACUGACGCUGAGGCACGAAAGCGUGGGGAGCAAACAGG